GAUGAACGCUGGCGGCGUGCCUAAUACAUGCAAGUCGAGCGAACAGACGAGGAGCUUGCUCCUUUGACGUUAGCGGCGGACGGGUGAGUAACACGUAGGUAACCUACCUAUAAGACUGGGAUAACUUCGGGAAACCGGAGCUAAUACCGGAUAAUAUUUCGAACCGCAUGGUUCGAUAGUGAAAGAUGGCUUUGCUGUCACUUAUAGAUGGACCUGCGCCGUAUUAGCUAGUUGGUAAGGUAACGGCUUACCAAGGCAACGAUACGUAGCCGACCUGAGAGGGGGAUCGGCCACACUGGAACUGAGACACGGUCCAGACUCCUACGGGAGGCAGCAGUAGGGAAUCUUCCGCAAUGGGCGAAAGCCUGACGGAGCAACGCCGCGUGAGUGAUGAAGGUCUUCGGAUCGUAAAACUCUGUUAUUAGGGAAGAACAAACGUGUAAGUAACUGUGCACGUCUUGACGGUACCUAAUCAGAAAGCCACGGCUAACUACGUG
rnacentral:rRNA from 1 species